rnacentral:rRNA from 1 species
UGGGGAAUAUUGCGCAAUGGGGGAAACCCUGACGCAGCAACGCCGCGUGAGUGAGGAAGGCUUUCGGGUUGUAAAGCUCUGUCAAGGUGGAAGAACGGUGAGACUUCGAAUAGGGGUCUUGCGUGACGGUACACCUAAAGGAAGCACCGGCUAACUCCGUGCCAGCAGCCGCGGUAAUACGGAGGGUGCAAGCGUUGUUCGGAUUUACUGGGCGUAAAGCGCGCGCAGGCGGAUAGGUAAGUCAGAUGUGAAAUCUCGGGGCCCAACCUCGAAACUGCGUCUGAAACUAUCUAUCUAGAAUCUCGGAGGGGGAAGUGGAAUUUCGCAUGUAGGGGUAAAAUCCGUAGAGAUGCGAAGGAACACCGGAGGCGAAGGCGACUUCCUGGCCGAGCAUUGACGCUGAGGCGCGAAAGCGUGGGUAGCAAACA